GAUGAAGUGAUGAAUAGAAGGAGUAGGUAUUUUCUUAUAUUAAAGAGAGGAAGUGGAAGGUGAAAACUUCCUGUAGGAUAUAUUGAAGCUGUCUAGGAACUUGUAUUAUGUUGUUUAAGAGAUAUAGAUUGUAUUUUGAAUAUCUAUAUAAUUAGGGUGGUACCGCGAAGAGAAUCUUUCGUCCCUUAG
rnacentral:ncRNA from 1 species